GGCGUGCUAUACUUGCAAGUCGAGCGGACAGAAGGGAGCUUGCUUCCGGAUGUAGCGGCGGACGGGUGAGUAACACGUGGUUAACCUGCCUGUAAGACUGGGAUAACUCCGGGAAACGGGAGCUAAUACCGGAUAGUUCCCUGAACCGCAUGGUUCAAGGAUGAAAGACGGUUUCGGCUGUCACUUACAGAUGGACCGCGGCGCAUAGCUAGUUGGUGAGGUAACGGCUCACCAGGCGACGAUGCGUAGCCGACCUGAGAGGGUGAUCGGCCACACUGGGACUGAGACACGGCCCAGACUCCUACGGGAGGCAGCAGUAGGGAAUCUUCCGCAAUGGACGAAAGUCUGACGGAGCAACGCCGCGUGAGUGAUGAAGGUUUCGGAUCGUAAAGCUCUGUUGUUAGGGAAGAACAAGUGCAAGAGUAACUGCUUGCACCUUGACGGUACCUAACCAGAAAGCCACGGCUAACUACGUGCCAGCAGCCGCGGUAAUACGUAGGUGGCAGCGUUGUCCGGAAUUAUUGGGCGUAAAGGGCUCGCAGGCGGUUUCUUAAGUCUGAUGUGAAAGCCCCCGGCUCAACCGGGGAGGGUCAUUGGAAACUGGGAAACUUGAGUGCAGAAGAGGAGAGUGGAAUUCCACGUGUAGCGGUGAAAUGCGUAGAGAUGUGGAGGAACACCAGUGGCGAAGGCGACUCUCUGGUCUGUAACUGACGCUGAGGAGCGAAAGCGUGGGGAGCGAACAGGAUUAGAUACCCUGGUAGUCCACGCCGUAAACGAUGAGUGCUAAGUGUUAGGGGGUUUCCGCCCCUUAGUGCUGCAGCUAACGCAUUAAGCACUCCGCCUGGGGAGUACGGUCGCAAGACUGAAACUCAAAGGAAUUGACGGGGGCCCGCACAAGCGGUGGAGCAUGUGGUUUAAUUCGAAGCAACGCGAAGAACCUUACCAGGUCUUGACAUCCUCUGACAACCCUAGAGAUAGGGCUUUCCCUUCGGGGACAGAGUG
rnacentral:rRNA from 1 species